GAUGAACGCUAGCGGCAGGCUUAAUACAUGCAAGUCGAGGGGCAGCAGGACUGUAGCAAUACAGUUGCUGGCGACCGGCAAACGGGUGCGGAACACGUACGCAACUUACCCAAAACUGGGGGAUAGCCCGGGGAAACCCGGAUUAAUACCUCGUAACCUUUUUAAGUGGCAUCACUUGAUAAGUAUAGCUCCGGCGGUUUUGGAUGGGCGUGCGCCUGAUUAGGUAGUUGGUGCGGGUAACGGCCCACCAAGCCUGCGAUCAGUAACUGGUGUGAGAGCACGACCAGUCACACGGGCACUGAGACACGGGCCCGACUCCUACGGGAGGCAGCAGUAAGGAAUAUUGGUCAAUGGACGCAAGUCUGAACCAGCCAUGCCGCGUGAAGGAUGAAGGUCCUCUGGAUUGUAAACCUCUUUUAUGGGGGACGAAACCCGGAUAUUCUUAUCCGAUUGACGGUACCUCAGGAAUAAGCACCGGCUAACUCCGUG
rnacentral:rRNA from 1 species